rnacentral:lncRNA from 1 species
UUGCAAACCUGCUUCAAAAAGAGAUGCUACCUCUCUCCUCGGUGGAUUCUCGGUCUGGGCUCACGUGAACUUGCCUGAGUGGGACCCAGGGAUUCCGACCUAGAAUUCCUUGUAACCAAUCUAAUCUCUUCGUCCGCAGCCUCUGCUUCGCUGGGUCCAGGACGAGGGUCCUUCCAGCUCAGCAGUGAGUGAAUACUCUUGACCAUAAAACUCUCUGCCAACGGAAGACAUUGUAAAUAUAGAGCAACGCAGUCUGGUGGUCAUGGCUAAGGGACUUCCAGGCCAUGGUGGUGGAUGGAGUGCAGGACUUCCGUCUCUCGAGGACCAACCCGAAGAACAAAAUUGCAAAAGCCGAGAAAGAGUCCCAGCGGCAAAGUAAUCAAGCAUGAGAAGUUGCCAAAUGUGACGUUGUGUCCCGUCAGAGGCAGGGGCUGCCAUUGAGGUUGACCGUCUCCACAAGUGUUCACCGAUGGUCCAUGACGACGAUGGUCACAGGGUAGAAAGGAUGGAAUUCUAUGAAUUUCUUGCUGUUGUAGAUUUGGGUUAUAGUCUUCGCUGGAAGUUACUGAGAGAAAAGCCACCUUUUGCUUCAUCGUUGUGUGUGGGCACCGAGGAGACCUGGCGAAGGGCCGUGUGUGGUAAGUUGUGAUGGAGAGAGAGGUGUGAGUCUGGAGGUUGGAAAACCUGGGUUUUGAUUCUAGCUUUGUUGUUUAUUGUGUGAUGUUGGGUGAAUCCCAUAGACUUUCUUAGACGGUG